GCAAGCACAGUAAUGUGUUGAGCUUACUGAUACUAAUCGGUCGUGAGGCUUGACCAUA
rnacentral:rRNA from 1 species